rnacentral:rRNA from 1 species
CCUACGGGUGGCAGCAGUGGGGGAUAUUGCACAAUGGGGGAAACCCUGAUGCAGCGACGCCGCGUGGGUGAAGAAGGGCCUCGGCGCGUAAAGCUCUGUCAGCAGGGAAGAAAAAGACGGUACGUGAAGAAGAAGCACCGUCUCACUACGUGCCAGAAGCCGCGGGAAUAAGUAGGGGGCAAGCGGUAUCCGGAUUUACAGGGUGUUAAGGGGGCGCAGACGGCGCUGGAAGCCAGGAGUGAAAGCCCGGGGCCCAACCCCGGGACUGCUCUUGGAACUGCGUGGCUAGAGUGCAGGAGGGGCAGGCGGAAUUCCUGGUGUAGCGGUGAAAUGCGUAGAUAUCAGGAGGAACACCGGUGGCGAAGGCGGCCUGCUGGACUGCAACUGACGUUGAGGCCCGAAAGCGUGGGGAGCAAACAGGAUUAGAUACCCCAGUAGUC